UACGUAGGGUGCGAGCGUUGUCCGGAAUUACUGGGCGUAAAGAGCUCGUAGGUGGUUUGUCGCGUUGUUCGUGAAAACCUGAGGCUUAACCUUGGGCGUGCGGGCGAUACGGGCAGACUGGAGUACUGCAGGGGAGACUGGAAUUCCUGGUGUAGCGGUGGAAUGCGCAGAUAUCAGGAGGGACACCGGUGGCGAAGGCGGGUCUCUGGGCAGUAACUGACGCUGAGGAGCGAAAGCGUGGGGAGCGAACAGG
rnacentral:rRNA from 1 species